GUGCCAUUUGUGCUUCCAUUAAGUAAAAAACCAUUAACGAAAUUUGUGUUGACUUGUUGAACAAUUUUAUGAACACUAGAUAAAUACAACUAAUUUAGUUAGUCUACCGACUGGCAUUUGUGAAGCACUACAAUUAGGAAAUUGUAUGAAUUUUUUUUUCCUACUAAAAAUUAUUAACUUGUAAUUUUUACAAAACAAAGCUCAAAAAGCGAACUCUUAUUUAAGAAUUCUUAAUAGUUGCACAUUUUCAAUUUAAAUUUAUUUUGUUCCAACAUACGUAUGUGCAUAUGGUUAAGUUCAUAAUGUUCUUUCAUUUUGUUUUUAGGUUUAUUCAAUAAAACUAGCCAGUGGUGAGUUUAAGGGGUGUGGGUGGUUCAAAUGUUCUUGAACCCUUCAAACACUGAUAUAUUUUUAACAAAAUAGUUUUCAAAAAAGAGUUAUCUAAUAAAAGAAACCUUUUAAAAACAUAUGAUUUUUUAGGAUCACUUUCAGAAAAAUGUUGAAAAUCCGCCACUGAAGCUAACAUGCAAAUUGACUAUAGAACCCACAUAACAAAAAAAUUAACAACAAACUAUUAUAUGGAAGGUACCAAAAUAGGAGAGUAUAAUUUUAUUAAUUUGUAUAGAAUGUUACGUAUAGAAAACUAUUCCGUUUCCCUAAUAAUAUAACAUUCGAAUUUUAAAAAAGGUUAGUUGAAGGAUGUUGAUGUAUUUAGCACGUAGAUUGGGAACUUAGAAACAAUUUAUUUUGGUAUAUCCAAUGAUAAUGAACCAAACGGUCUUUUUUAACAACUCGCCCAAAACGCUUAAAAAUAAGUUUUACAGAAUUUAAAAAAACACCCCAUGUUUUUACUACGGUAGGUAAUAAAUGGUAGGUCACACGCGUUUACUAUUUUUGGUAAAAAAAAAUAAAAAUAUAAGUCUAAACCAAUCAUAUGUCUUGGAUUGUCUCAUUUAACGGUAGUUAGUUAAAGGAAACUAUAUUAUGUAUACAAAUUAUUAUUAUUUAACAAUUAUUUUUCAAUUCACUUUUCUUUUCCGUUCUUAUUUUUUUUCCUCUUUAAAUAAUUUCCUAUUUUUUUACUAUAAAUAUAUUUUUUUUUUUUUUUUGUUUUUUUCCAAGUGAUUGCAGUAGAGCUCUGUCAUUUAUUCACUGUGAGAUCGAGGUGAUAUAACCGGUUGUAACUAAGACAUAGCUACUAACUCAACCACAUCUACGAUCAAACCACAGAUUUGGUCUAGACGUUAAUAGCCAUUGUUUUUGUUUACUUAUAGCUACGUAUACCAGACUUACGAGUGUCUCCACUUCGCCAGAGGUCUAUUUAGGUCCAGUUUUACUGUACCUAUGGGUUUAAAUAUUAACUCCAUGACCAUUCGACUAGAACCAUGAAACUAUGUAUAGAAUGUAAUUUAACUUAUUUUUAUAUAAUUAUGUUAGAAAAGAACAGAGAAGAAAAAUAUGUGAAAAAAU